rnacentral:rRNA from 1 species
GACGUAGGGCGCGAGCGUUGUCCGGAUUUAUUGGACGUAAAGAGCUCGUAGGCGGCUUGUUGCGUCAGCCGUGAAAACCCGCAGCUCAACUGUGGGCUUGCAGCUGAUACGGGCAGGCUUGAGUUCGGUAGGGGAGACUGGAAUUCCUGGUGUAGCGGUGAAAUGCGCAGAUAUCAGGAGGAACACCGGUGGCGAAGGCGGGUCUCUGGGCCGAUACUGACGCUGAGGAGCGAAAGCGUGGGGAGCGAACAGG